rnacentral:sRNA from 1 species
AGGAGUGUGAGGAGUAAGUUGAAAGUACAAGAAGCACCUGGAGUGGAAACACGGUCACACGCCCAGGUGCUUUUUGCU